rnacentral:rRNA from 1 species
UACGGCGGGUGCAAGCGUGACUCGGCAUCACUGGGCGUAAAGGAUGCGUAGGCUGGAAAUCAAGUCGAGAGUGAAAUCCAACGGCUCAACCGUUGAACUGCUCUCGAAACUGGUUACCUAGAAUAUGGGAGAGGUAGAUGGAAUUAGUGGUGUAGGGGUAAAAUCCGUAGAUAUCACUAGGAAUACCGAUUGCAAGGCGAUCUACUGGAACAUUAUUGACGCGGAGGCAUGAAAGCGGGGGGAGCAAACAGGAGUAGAUACCCGGGUAGUCC